rnacentral:rRNA from 1 species
GACGAACGCUGGCGGCGUGCCUAAUACAUGCAAGUCGAGCGGACUUUUGGGAGCUUGCUCCCAAAAGUUAGCGGCGGACGGGUGAGUAACACGUGGGCAACCUGCCUAUAAGACUGGGAUAACUUCGGGAAACCGGAGCUAAUACCGGAUAAUUCCUUUCCACUCAUGAGUGAAGGUUGCAAGACGGUUUCGGCUGUCAUCUAUAGAUGGUCCCGCGGCGCAUUAGCUAGUUGGUGAGGUAACGGCUCACCAAGGCGACGAUGCGUAGCCGACCUGAGAGGGUGAUCGGCCACACUGGGACGGAGACACGGCCCAGACUCCUACGGGAGGCAGCAGUAGGGAAUCUUCCGCAAUGGACGAAAGUCUGACGGAGCAACGCCGCGUGAGUGAUGAAGGUUUUCGGAUCGUAAAACUCUGUUGUUAGGGAAGAACAAGUACGAGAGUAACUGCUCAUACCUUGACGGUACCUAACCAGAAAGCCACGGCUAACUACGUGCCAGCCGCCGCUGUAA